AAUCACUAGGGGGGCCAAUCCGGCUGAGAUGGAGCGAUGCAGCUCCGGACCCUUGGAACCUGAACUGGAUCAUACCAGCGGAGGGAAGUGA
rnacentral:ncRNA from 1 species